rnacentral:rRNA from 1 species
UACGUAGGGACCAAGCGUUGUUCGGAUUUACUGGGCGUAAAGGGCGCGUAGGCGGCGCGGUAAGUCACUUGUGAAAUCUCUGAGCUUAACUCAGAACGGCCAAGUGAUACUGCAGUGCUAGAGUGUGGAAGGGCAUCGGAAUUCUUGGUGUAGCGGUGAAAUGCGUAGAUAUCAAGAGGAACACCUGAGGUGAAGACGGGUUGCUGGGCCGAACACUGACGCUGAUGACG